ensembl:snRNA U1 U1 spliceosomal RNA
NNNCUUACCUGGCAGGGGAGAUACCAUGAUCACGAAGGUGGUUUUCCCAGGGCGAGGCUUAUCCAUUGCACUCCGGAUGUGCUGACCCCUGCGAUUUCCCCAAAUGUGGGAAACUCGACUGCAUAAUUUGUGGUAGUGGGGGACUGCGUUCGCGAAAAA